ACACGUGUUAAGUGCACUUGGAGUACUACCGGGAACAUCGCCCUUGGGAAUGCCUUGGUCCCGGAUAAAGAACUUGGCUCUUGUAACUUUGGGAUCUUCUCCUGCAUCUGGUGUUGCUGUAGAAAUGACAAAUGGAACUUUAUUUAAGCAACAUGAAACAAAGAUACAACUCUACGAAAACACAGAAGGAAUUUCAACGUUAGACUGCUGUAUAUUCCCAGCAUUAAAA
rnacentral:lncRNA from 1 species